rnacentral:rRNA from 1 species
GAUGAACGCUGGCGGCGUGCCUAAUACAUGCAAGUCGAGCGAACGGACGAUAAGCUUGCUUCUCUGAUGUUAGCGGCGGACGGGUGAGUAACACGUGGAUAACCUACCUAUAAGACUGGGAUAACUUCGGGAAACCGGAGCUAAUACCGGAUAAUAUUUUGAACCGCAUGGUUCAAAAGUGAAAGACGGUCUUGCUGUCACUUAUAGAUGGAUCCGCGCUGCAUUAGCUAGUUGGUAAGGUAACGGCUUACCAAGGCAACGAUGCAUAGCCGACCUGAGAGGGUGAUCAGCCACACUGGAACUGAGACACGGUCCAGACUCCUACGGGAGGCAGCAGUAGGGAAUCUUCCGCAAUGGGCGAAAGCCUGACGGAGCAACGCCGCGUGAGUGAUGAAGGUCUUCGGAUCGUAAAACUCUGUUAUUAGGGAAGAACAUAUGUGUAAGUAACUGUGCACAUCUUGACGGUACCUAAUCAGAAAGCCACGGCUAACUACGUG